CAAUCACUUGUCUUUUAAAUGGAGACCUGUAUGAAUGGCACGACGAGGGCUUAACUGUCUCCUUCCUCCAGUCAAUGAAAUUGAUCUCCCCGUGCAGAAGCGGGGAUACCCCCAUAAGACGAGAAGACCCUGUGGAGCUUUAGACUUACGGCAGGACCAUGUCAAGCACCCCUCGCUAACGGCCUAAACUAAUUGGCUCCCUCCUACAUGUCUUUGGUUGGGGCGACCGCGGGGAAAUAAAAAACCCCCAUGUGGAAUGGGAGCACCUCUACUCCUACAACCAAGAGCCACAGCUCUAGGUGACAGAAUUUCUGACCAGUCAGAUCCGGCAUAGCCGAUCAACGGACCGAGUUACCCCAGGGAUAACAGCGCAAUCCUCUUCUAGAGCCCA
rnacentral:rRNA from 1 species